CCUACGGGGGGCUGCAGUCGAGAAUCUUCGUCAAUGGGGGAAACCCUGAACGAGCGACGCCGCGUGUGGGAUGAAGGCCUUUGGGUUGUAAACCACUGUCAGGGGGGAUGAAACCGCAAGGUUGACAGAGCCCCAGAGGAAGCACGGGCUAAGUUCGUGCCAGCAGCCGCGGUAAUACGAACUGUGCGAACGUUAUUCGGAAUCACUGGGCUUACAGGGUGCGUAGGUGGCCGGACAAGUCAGGUGUGAAAUCCCUCAGCUCAACUGAGGAACUG
rnacentral:rRNA from 1 species